CAUUAGGUGACGUCAUCAGAGAAUAUAACCUCAAUUUCCACAGCUACGCAGAUGACACCCAACUAUAUAUUUCACUAGACCCAAGUGAUGACCAAUCUGUCACCCAACAUCUGGAUUGGCUGCAAUAGACAAGUGGAUGCAAACCAAUUUCUUAAAUUAAAUGGUGACAAAACCGAAAUCUUAUUAGUUGGUCCCCAAGCAAAACGGGAGAUAGUUCUUCCCAAACCUGGCAGUUUGGCUGUGCCGGUUAAAUCUGAAGUCACGAACCUGGGUGUUAUCCUUGACUCAGACCUAAAUUUUAAAUCUCACAUAAAGAAGGUGACCAAACAGCUUUUUUUCACUUACGAAAUAUUUCAAAGGUGCGACCAUUCCUAUCCCAACAAGAUGCCGAAAAACUGGUACAUGCAUUCAUUUCAAGCAGACUUGACUACUGUAAUGCUCUCUUCACCGGUCUUCCAAAGCAAUCCAUCGACAAAUUACACUUAAUUCAGAACUCUGCUGCCAGGCAGUUAACUAGAACAAGAAAGAGAGAGCAUAUCACCCCAGUUUUAGCUAACCUUCACUGGCUUCCAGUAUCUUUUAGGAUUGAUCUUAAAGUGCUUUUACUUGUUUUUAAGGCUCUUAAUGGGUUUGGACCAGCCUACAUUACUAAUUCUUUGUCGUUUUAUAUUCCUUCACAGCCUCUUAGAUCCUCUGCUACUCUAAUAAGAAAAUUGGCAGCUCAGCCUUUUUUAACUAUGCACCAAAAUUAUGGAACUCACUACCCAAGGAUAUAAAAGAUACAAGCUCUGUGAACAUUUUCAAACAACAAUUGAAAACUUAUUUAUUCAACAUUGCUUUCAACUAACUGUCACUAUUCCCUGGUUUUUAUCCCCAUCCUUCACAUUUUUUAUCUGCUUCCAUGCAUUCCGCUGUUUUACUUUUAUCUUUUACAUAUUAUGUUGUUCUUGGUUUCAUUGUGCAGAAUUUGCACUUGUCUUUUUUUUUUUUUUUUUAAAUUGUAUUUGUCUGUUUUUAUUUUGUUGUAAAGCACUCUGAGCUACACCUCCCUGUAUGAAAGGUGCUAUAUAAAUAAAGUUUAUUAUUAUUAUUAUUAUUAUUAUUAUUAUUAUUAACAAAGAAUUGAAGAGUAGCAGACAAGGCAGCAUUGUGCUCUGCAGGCUGUCCUGUCAUGACAUCAGACACUUACAAUGUGGAUAACACCAGCAUAAAACUCAUGUAUGGUCCCACAGCUAUGUACACUUUUCAAUUUGAUCUUCAUAAAUUCAGUACAACCCUUUAGAAAAAGGACAUAAAAUCAGUGAGGGAAACAGCACUUCAACUUAAACACUGACUGGCUUUUCUUUGUCAACAAGCUUCACAAUGGUCACUAUUCACUGCAGUGUUGGUGCCUGCCAUAAUAGGAGCCAGGGCCUGGCUUUUCUAUUGUGUCUGCUGCUGUAUGUUGUGUUUGUUUAUCUGAGUAGCAGACUGAAUUUGGAUCCAGAGGACACAGCUGAUGGAUAGUGAGUGAAUGAGUUUGUCUCUUUGAAUACUCUAAGUCAGGAGUGAUUUACAACUUUGGAUUGAAUUCUUCCACUAUUAAAGCUCUUCAGUGUGUGUGGUAUCAGCGAGAGGCCCCAAAAUAACCAGAGCAGAAAAAGACCCAGAGAGGGGGUCAGGAAGUGAGUUCAGAGCAUCUCAAGAGCCUGUCUGCAGCAGGUGUCUCACUCCAUCCUUCCACCAAGACCUCCACAUAAGACUGCAAAGCAUAAUGGAAGGCACCAGAACUUCUCUCUGGCUGUUUCUUCUGCUCAACCAGCUGCCGUUCUGUCCUACGGAUGCAGACCAAGACCUUUCAACCUUGCAGCCAAAUUCGUACAAAACAGAAGAUCAAGGUGGCAGCUCAGCCCCAGCUGUGGAGCCCAGCUUUACUACCAUUGGCCACACAAACUCACCUGACACAGAGAGCAAUGGCACUCGUGCUGACUGCUUGAUCGACACAGAGAUGGGUCUGAUUGCUAUAGGUUCAGCAGGGGGGCUGAUUGUCUGUCUGCUAGUUGCCACCGUGGUACUGGCAUGCCAGGUCUGCCUCAUUCAGCGCCGCGCUUAUGCCCCACGCACCUCCAGGUCCAACAUGGACUUGGUGAGCGGUACAGGCUACUGGGGCACUGACCGGCCUGAAGUCAGAGGACUGGUUGGGCCAUGUGAUGCUAGUGUCAUGCUUGAGGAGGUAAGAUCAGACAGCAAGAUGGAGGAAGAGCGCCAGGCUGAAAUACCAGAGGCAAAGGAAGAGGGAAAUGCAGGACUUGAGAGAGGGUCCACGGCAAUGACAUUUGAUCCUGAAGAAAAGGGCAGUCAGAUGCAGAGCUCGUGCUCCAAAGAUUCCUGUCUGGAGGUUCCCAGGGAUCUAGAGGACAUGCCUCUUGUUGUGUGAGGAGGUAAACUCCAGCCCCACACACUUCACUCAAGACAAACAGCAACCAGUCAGUUCAGCCAAUGUUUUCUGGUUUAACUUAGCAUGUUCAUUCCAGUUUAUUGCACUUCACAGAAUCUAACUAAAAACCCAGUAACCUCUGCCUGGAGUUACAGUACCCAUACCAAAAAAUUCUUGUGUCUGACACAAGAAAGAUAUUUUCAAACAUAUUUUUUAUUUUAAAAAGAAUGAGGUGUACAUAUUUGCAAAGAAUAAGUUAAGUAUAACUUUUAAACAUCUAACAUGAUAUGCUGGUUAUUCUUACACAUUUGCUUAUCAAAUUCAGUAUUCACUGUAAGACUGCUUAAUUUUGUUCCCAACAUCUAGUAGUAGAUAUGACACCAGGGAGCUCGAGUGCUGCCAAAGUCAUAUUAAAAUGAUGGUCAGAAACUUGGGUACAAUGUCUGCUAAAAGUUUUUGUUGUCUUAAAUAAUCUUUGUUGAACAUUUCUUCUGUCAAUUUAGCUAUCAGUCAUCUCUUACCUGUGCUGUAGACUCUCUAAUACUUCUGUUUUUCAUAACACUUGUGCAAAUAAAACAGAGCCUGUUCAAA